GAUCAUGGCUCAGGAUGAACGCUAGCUAUAGGCUUAACACAUGCAAGUCGAGGGGAAACGGCAUUAUGUGCUUGCACAUUUUGGACGUCGACCGGCGCACGGGUGAGUAUCGCGUAUCCAACCUUCCCUCCACUCGGGGAUACCCCGUUGAAAGACGGCCUAAUACCCGAUGUUGUCCACAUAUGGCAUCUGACGUGGACCAAAGAUUCAUCGGUGGAGGAUGGGGAUGCGU
rnacentral:rRNA from 1 species